rnacentral:SRP_RNA from 1 species
CCGUGCUAGACGGGGGGCUCGGGGUCCCCUAUACCGGAAACCCCCGACACGCCGGGUUGAAUACUCGCUUGCGGCCGCUGAAGGACCGGGCAGUCCCCGGCAAGCAGCGUUGAUGGUCGAGUCCUGCGCGACUCGGAACCGUGAACCCGGUCAGGCCCGGAAGGGAGCAGCCGUAAGCGGCGUCCCGGGAGUGCCGCAGGGGCACCCGGCCGGAGCCGGCUACCGGACCGGCGCCGGUGCUCCAGAGGUCAAGGGCGAGCCGCACGG